CCCAUGUCUUUUGCGCACUUGUUGUUUCCUGGGCGGGUUCGCCCGCCACCANGGACCAAACCAUAAACCUUUUUUUCUUAUGCAGUUUCCAUCAGCGUCAGUAAAAACAAUGUAAUUAUUACAACUUUCAACAACGGAUCUCUUGGUUCUGGCAUCGAUGAAGAACGCAGCGAAAUGCGAUACGUAGUGUGAAUUGCAGAAUUCAGUGAAUCAUCGAAUCUUUGAACGCACAUUGCGCCCUUUGGUAUUCCAAAGGGCAUGCCUGUUCGAGCGUCAUUUGUACCUUCAAGCUUUGCUUGGUGUUGGGCGUUUUUUUGUCUCCCUCUUUCUGGGAGACUCGCCUUAAAACGAUUGGCAGCCGGCCUACUGGUUUCGGAGCGCAGCACAUUUUUUGCGCUUUGUAUCAGGAGAAAAGGACGGUACUCCAUCAAGACUCUACAUUUUUCACUUUUGACCUCGGAUCAGGUAGGGAUACCCGCUGAACUUAAGCAU
rnacentral:rRNA from 1 species